UACGUAGGGAGCAAGCGUUGUCCGGAAUCAUUGGGCGUAAAGCGCGCGUAGGCGGCCCCGUAAGUCCGCUGUGAAAGUCAAAGGCUCAACCUUUGAAAGCCGGUGGAUACUGUGGGGCAGAGUCCGGAAGAGGCGAGUGGAAUUCCUGGUGUAGCGGUGGAAUGCGCAGAUAUCAGGAGGAACACCAAUAGCGAAGGCAGCUCGCUGGGACGGUACUGAGCUAAGGCGCGAAAGCGUGGGGAGCGAACAGG
rnacentral:rRNA from 1 species